rnacentral:rRNA from 1 species
GACGAACGCUGGCGGCGUGCUUAACACAUGCAAGUCGAACGGAAAGGCUCCAGCUUGCUGGAGUACUCGAGUGGCGAACGGGUGAGUAACACGUGGGUAAUCUGCCCUGCACUCUAGGAUAAGCCUGGGAAACUGGGUCUAAUACUGGAUAUGACCUUUCUCCUUAUGGGGUUUGGUGGAAAGUUUUUCGGUGUAGGAUGAGCCCGCGGCCUAUCAGCUUGUUGGUGGGGUGAUGGCCUACCAAGGCGACGACGGGUAGCCGGCCUGAGAGGGUGAUCGGCCACAUUGGGACUGAGAUACGGCCCAGACUCCUACGGGAGGCAGCAGUGGGGAAUAUUGCACAAUGGGCGGAAGCCUGAUGCAGCGACGCCGCGUGAGGGAUGACGGCCUUCGGGUUGUAAACCUCUUUCAGCAGGGACGAAGCGUAAGUGACGGUACCUGCAGAAGAAGCACCGGCUAACUAUGUG